UUUCGGGUCAUGAAUGCGUUGGCCGGCUUAAACUCCUAACCUGCUCGGAAGAGUUGGAGCGAGCUUGCGAUCAAGGAUUUAGUGAAGGGGAAGGCGAGAGACUAUGGGAUGGAAGGCUGCGGAGAAGUUGAUAACAAAAUGGAAGAUCUUGAGAGGAGAUAACGUGAUGAUCAUAAGAGGCAAAGACAAGGGCGAAACGGGCACCAUCAAGCGUGUUAUUCGUUCCCAAAACCGUGUUAUUGUCGAAGGGCAAAAUCUGGUAAAGAAGCAUGUCAAACAAGGGCAAGGACAUGAAGGAGGGAUAUUCACAGUUGAAGCUCCACUUCAUGUCUCAAAUGUUCAAGUUAUUGAUCCAGUAACUGGGAGGCCUUGUAAAAUUGGUUACCGGUUUAUGGAAGAUGGAAGCAAGGUAAGAAUUUCUAGAGGACGAGAAGCUUCAGGUUCUGUAAUCCCCCGCCCUGAGAUACUUAAAAUGAGGAGAAAGCCACGACCUAUAGAACAUUGUGAAUUUCUAAGCUUCUGAUGCCUACUGGCUCAAAAUUGCUUGAACUGAGGUUUUAGACUUGUCAUGAUGCUAGGUUGUUUGGUAGCUGGCCCAAAAGACACCCCUAUUGAUGUUGUGCUUGAGAAAACUUAUGAUGCAAAGGUUGGGAUUGGCAUGCCAGAUCUGUAGACGAUUCAGCAGUAGUUGCUCCUGUUCAGUCCUGCUUGCCUGUAGACUAACCUUAAUUUUUGGGAUUUAAAUUACUCACUUUAUCUUAUUUUAACUGUUUAUUAAAAGAAAUAAAAAAAAACUUUCUUAUGCUUUAGAUGUAAGCUGGGCAUCACUUUCUGGAUGCAAUUUGAGCUUUAAAAGAACUUUCAUGCA